CUCUAUGAUGAAAUAAUAUAAGAUUGGAUUUGAGUACUAUGUGAACGUUGUGCGAAUCCAAAAAACGUUUUAUUUUAGUCAAUCAAUUAUUAAAUUGAUCCAAGCUUGUUUUCAACUAUGUUCCGACUUUACGGAAUUGAUUAUUCAGCUCCAUUCCGGGCUGUUGCAAUGACUGCAGAACUGUCUAAAGCAACUUAUGACUUCGUCCAAGUGGAUCCAUUUAAGGGUGAAACCCAAAAACGUGAAUUCCUUGCUCUCAAUUCUCAGCACAACGUCCCUGUUAUGCAGCAUGGAGACUUCAUUUUGAACGAAAGUCGUGCUAUUUCUGGGUAUAUUGCAUCACAAUUCGACAAAUCUGGAAAAUUAUACCCAAAAGAUCCUAAAGUCAACUCACGAAUCAAUCAAAGACUCCAUUUUGACAAUGGGGUAUUUUACAAGAGUUUAUUCAAUAUUGUGAUUAAAAGAUUUUUUGGCGACAAGAUGGAAGCUUCGAAGGAAAAAAUUAAACUUAUGGAAAAAGCUUUGGGUUGGGCAAAUGAUAUGUUGAUAGAAACUGGAUUUGUUGCAAACACAGAGUAUAUAACAAUCGCAGAUAUAUCAUUUUUAGCUACUUAUAGCACAAUAAAAGCCUGUGAUAUCAUUUCUCUCCAUAACUACAAGGAUUUGAAUGAUUGGGCUCAAAGAUGUUCACUACUCAUUCCCAAUUAUGAUCAAAUCAAUCAAAAAGGUGCUUCUAAAUUUGGAGAACUCUACAAAGCAAAAGGAUUUUAGAAGAAUAUAUUCUAUGUAGAUAAUUUAUAGAUUUUUCGAGUCCUAUACAUACAUUCAUCAAACCAAGUAUGGAUAUAGUUAAUUAUUCAUGGAAAUUAUUAAUUUUAAAUAUGAAGUAAGAAUAUUUGGCAAAUACAACGAAUUGGAAGAAUUAACGAUGGUAAUUUGAUAGUUUCUCUUUUACAGAUUUAUAAAUAUUUUUACUUCUUGGCCACCAAACAUUUCAUUUGAAUAAAUAUGCAUUACAUUCUGA
rnacentral:misc_RNA from 1 species